rnacentral:rRNA from 1 species
GAUGAACGCUAGCGGCAGGCUUAACACAUGCAAGUCGAGGGGCAGCACGGGAGUAGCAAUACAACUGGUGGCGACCGGCGCACGGGUGAGUAACGCGUAUGCAACCUACCUAUCAGAGGGGAAUAACCCGGCGAAAGUCGGACUAAUACCGCAUAAAACAGGGGCACCGCAUGGUGAUAUUUGUUAAAGAAAUUCGCUGAUAGAUGGGCAUGCGUUCCAUUAGGUAGUUGGUGAGGUAACGGCUCACCAAGCCGACGAUGGAUAGGGGAACUGAGAGGUUGGUCCCCCACACUGGUACUGCGACACGGACCAGACGCCUACGGGGGGCAGCAGUGAGGAAUAUUGGUCAAUGGGCGGGAGCCUGAACCAGCCAAGUCGCGUGAAGGAAGAAGGAUCUAUGGUUCGUAAACUUCUUUUGCAGGGGAAUAAAGUGCAGGACGUGUCCUGUUUUGUAUGUACCCUGAGAAUAAGGAUCGGCUAACUCCGUGCCAGCAGCCGCCGCAGUAA